rnacentral:sRNA from 1 species
AGGUGAGUGUCCCCUUCUUCUCUCACUGCUCCAUGUGUGUCCCUCUCAAAGCUGUGCACUUGGUUGCAGAGGAUGACCUUCCCAGCACAGGAGGCCCAAUCUUCGGUCAAGGUAUAUGAGUAGCUGCACUCCUCUGCUAUAAUCUCCAAACAAUCUUCAGUGAAGAAAUCUUAUUUUCUCACUUGGUUCAUCUGAACAUAGCUGCACAGUAAAAUACAUAGGCAGAGCUUU